CAUUUCUAAAGCAGAAAAAGUUUUAUUAUGAUUGGAACUUACUAAAACUUUUUUUUUAUUUACGUUGAAUCAAAUGAAAAUUAAUUUCUUUAUAUAUAUUUAGCUAAAAUUGAAAAAACUAAAUUCUGCUCAAACGCAACGAUUUAUGAACAAGUAACUCUUAUGUUUAGCAGGCAACUAUUUGCUUACUUAUAUUGCUUGUCAUUGAGUUGAUUGUUCAGAAGAUGGCUCUGCAUUUACAGUGCGAAAAUGAUCAUGUCAAUUGAUGGGAUCAAUAUUUUAGGUUUUAGAUGGAUAUGACGUUGCACAAACAUCAAUCAUAACCAAGACAAAUAAUUUUCAAAAUAUUUCAGGUUCGACUCAUACUGGAAGCGGUGGAGGCGGUGACGGUGGAUUCUCACUUCACUUUGGUAUCUGAUCAUUAAAAUGUCUAUACAG
rnacentral:misc_RNA from 1 species